rnacentral:rRNA from 1 species
AAAGUCGUAACAAGGUUUCCGUAGGUGAACCUGCGGAAGGAUCAUUAAUACGCUUUUGUUUGUAACAAAAACAAAACGUUUUAAACCCCAAAAAUUGAAAAUAGUGGAAACAGUAACUUCCGGAUGCGAAUGUUGGGGAACCUGAGUAACAAUCGGUUCUUUGAAAAAGGGACUUCAAGCAAUUGACACUUCAGAGUAGAGCAGUGAGGUGAAACUCGAAAGAGUUUGGUUCUGAAAAAACAUUUGUAUCCGGUUAUCAAAUCUGUUCUACCAAUUUAUCAAACAAUAAACCCCAUGUACAACAACUUGAACUAAACAUUUUUUUUGUUGUCUGCUUCGCGGCAGAUGUACAAAGAAAAAACCUGAACUUAAAGAACAACUCUUAACAACGGAUAUCUUGGUUCUCGUAUCGAUGAAGAACGCAGCGAAAUGCGAUACGUAAUGCGAAUUGCAGAAUUCAGUGAAUCAUCAAAUCUUUGAACGCAAAUUGCGCUCUCGGGAUAGGCCUGAGAGCAACGCCUCUUUGAGUAUCGAUUCCACCACCUCCAGAACAAACUGAUCAUUUCGAUUGGUUUUGACACUGGGAAUUUGAGUGCUUACGUCGUCAGAUGUGUCACUUGAAGCGGAAUGGAAUUGAGGGUUUGCGAAACUGCUGUUUGAAUGUCAGUUUGCUGAAGUGGACUUGAACAUGGAUAAAUUUCCAAUGAUCAAUAAACUUUGGCUUAUUUGAUUUCAGCGAAUACUAAGUUUUGCAAACAAAAAAGCCCUCUCCUAACUAAUUUUUUUUAAUUAUCUGAGAAUUAGAUCUCAAAUGAAGCGAGACAACCCGCUGAACUUAA